UACAGAGGUCCCAAGCGUUGUUCGGAUUCACUGGGCGUAAAGGGUGCGUAGGUGGCAGGGUAAGUUUGAUGUGAAAUCUCCGAGCUUAACUCGGAAACUGCAUUGAAUACUAUCCUGCUCGAGGUUUGGAGGGGGGACUGGAAUUCUCGGUGUAGCAGUGAAAUGCGCAGAUAUCGGGAGGAACACCGGUGGCGAAGGCGGCAUCCUGGCCCAGAACUGACGCUGAGGCGCGAGAGCGUGGGGAGCGAACCGG
rnacentral:rRNA from 1 species